rnacentral:rRNA from 1 species
UCACUUGUUCUUUAAAUGGGGACUUGUAUCAACGGCACCACGAGGGUUAGACUGUCUCCUUUUUCAAAUCAGUGAAAUUAAUCUCCCCGUGAAGAAGCGGGGAUACUCAUAUAAGACGAGAAGACCCCAUGGAGCUUCAAACCCAACUACACCCCUAGCUCUUAUAGCCCCACAACCCCCCUAGGCGCCGUGUGCUUGGUUUUAGGUUGGGGCGACCGCGGAGUACAAUAAAACCUCCACAAUGAAUGGGAACACCCCC